ensembl:lncRNA LINC01095 long intergenic non-protein coding RNA 1095
GGGAGGCCAGCACAAGAGCUCUGCCAUAAAAGGACAUUGGACAGAAGUGAAGAGUCCAAUCAGAAACUCUUUUUGAGAGACUGAACGCAAAGCAUUCAGAGAGUCAGCAGGCUGGAGAGGCCAAGACACACACACGAAGAAGGCAGUGCCCUGUCAUCUCCUCAAAUGUUGCUCUUAUUCACUGAAGCAAGCUGACUCCCCAAUACCAUGUACAUACUGAACCCAGAAGAGGGGAGAAAAGAAGGAAGGAUUGUGCAUAGGAGUUCCUUUUGAAGAAGUGACAUGGAGGGACACUCUUCUCCUCCUGCGGUUGGACUCCAGGCUCUAUGACCUUCAAACUCCAGGACUUACACCAGUUGCCCCUGGGCACUCAGGACUUCUGCUUCAGACUGACAGUUGCAGGACAGUGCAGCAUUUUAUUUUAAAGAUACCCCACAACGUAGGUGGCCAGUCCUGCUGCAGAUUGAGAGCUGUACUAGCCUGGCAUGCAGACAGCAGCUUUAGAAUCAGAUCUGCCUUCUGGCGGCUUCCCACCUAGGAGCCAUGGGACCUUUGUGAAGUCACCAAUUGUGCUGUGGAUGCUUCAUUUGUGAAGGAGAACAGGACUGCCUUACUUCCCAGGAUUUAGCAACCAGGGCCUGGAAGGCAGACAAAGGUAACUGGCCCCAUGUGAUAAAAACAGGCCCGGGAGCAUCUUCAUUAAGGCAGGCAGUUUUGGGCCACCCGAUCAUGACCAUGGAUCUACGUGCUGGAACUUGAAAGUAUGUCCACGCUCAAGAUUUCUGUCUCUUCUAAAGCAAGAAAGGACUGGUUUUGCAUGCCCUGCCUAUGCACAUCUUUAUGAAAAUGUAACCUUUUCACUCACUUUCUGAACUCCACAAAAGAGUCAGCUUUCUCCUGUUGGUGAUGAAACCAGCUGUUGAAAUACUUCAAUUGGGUUGCAGUUGCUUCUCCUGUGAGCUGCAUGGCCAUCUCUUCUUUUGUUUCAAAAACUUGGCUGGCACUUUCAGCAGCCACUGUGAAGUUGACAAAGUCUUGCUCUGUCACCCAAGCUGGAACACAGUAGCAUGAUCACAGCUCACUUCAGCCUUGACCUCCCAGGCUCAAGCAAUCCUCCUCCCUCAGCCUCCCGAGUGGCUGGGAACACAGGUUCCUUCUACGUGUGGGGCUUCUCCACUGCCAGGUUCCUGCAGCAAGUAGCAGUCACCAGCACCCAGUGGCCAGCAGCUUCCUCCACCACCUCCUGCUUGACACUGGAGUAAAUUCCAAAACAUGGCACCACCCUGUGAAUAGCUUCCUUGACACCCAAGAAGGUCAAUUAGACUGCGGUUGCAUGGAUGCCAUCUGGAUUUUCCAGAAGGAUCCAGAGAAAACGUAGCUGGAUACCAGACAUCCUGCUAAGAAGAAAUGCCUUAGGGGCUGGGCCCAGCAAAGUGUCUACCGGGAGUAGUUGACAAGCCCAGUUGGAGAGAGAUUCUAAAUCAUUAAUUUUAAGCCACUGGAAAUUAAAAGGUCAAAACUGGGCAAGUGGCAACAAAGAGACUUUCAACCUGAAAACUGGUCAUCAUUUCAAAAGCCCCAUUUGGAAGCAAACCCUGGGAUUAUCAAGGAGAGAGCCAAGCAGGAUGAGCUGCAAUGGUGGUGGAGACAGAGGGUGGAUGUCUUGACUUAAAAACAUAGAGCUACAUAAACACCCCUUGGUCUUCUGCUUACCAAUAAAGAAAUAGAGAACGACCUUGCUUAA